AUUUCUCAAUAGGACAAACAGAGGCAUGUUAGAUAACACCUCUAUUAUUAGAUGAUAAGUUAAAAAUAACUAUUAUCAAUAAUUACUACUUUUUUUCUUUUUUUCUGUUCGAUAUUUAUAUUGAUGUCCAAUUAUAUUUCAAGUGUACUCUAGGAAUCCUACUGAUUAGGUUAAUAGAAAACAAGUUGCAUUAAUAUCAAUGUUUCUUCAUUU
rnacentral:lncRNA from 1 species